rnacentral:rRNA from 1 species
ACGCUGGCGGCGUGCCUAAUACAUGCAAGUAGAACGCUGAAGGAGGAGCUUGCUUCUCUGGAUGAGUUGCGAACGGGUGAGUAACGCGUAGGUAACCUGCCUGGUAGCGGGGGAUAACUAUUGGAAACGAUAGCUAAUACCGCAUAAUAGUAGAUGUUGCAUGACAUUUGCUUAAAAGAUGCAAUUGCAUCACUACCAGAUGGACCUGCGUUGUAUUAGCUAGUUGGUGGGGUAACGGCUCACCAAGGCGACGAUACAUAGCCGACCUGAGAGGGUGAUCGGCCACACUGGGACUGAGACACGGCUCAGACUCCUACGGGAGGCAGCAGUAGGGAAUCUUCGGCAAUGGACGAAAGUCUGACCGAGCAACGCCGCGUGAGUGAAGAAGGUUUUCGGAUCGUAAAGCUCUGUUGUAAGAGAAGAACGAGUGUGAGAGUGGAAAGUUCACACUGUGACGGUAUCUUACCAGAAAGGGACGGCUAACUACGUGCCAGCAGCCGCGGUAAUACGUAGGUCCCGAGCGUUGUCCGGAUUUAUUGGGCGUAAAGCGAGCGCAGGCGGUUAGAUAAGUCUGAAGUUAAAGGCUGUGGCUUAACCAUAGUACGCUUUGGAAACUGUUUAACUUGAGUGCAAGAGGGGAGAGUGGAAUUCCAUGUGUAGCGGUGAAAUGCGUAGAUAUAUGGAAGAACACCGGUGGCGGAAGCGGCUCUCUGGCUUGUAACUGACGCUGAGGCUCGAAAGCGUGGGGAGCAAACAGGAUUAGAUACCCUGGUAGUCCACGCCGUAAACGAUGAGUGCUAGGUGUUAGACCCUUUCCGGGGUUUAGUGCCGCAGCUAACGCAUUAAGCACUCCGCCUGGGGAGUACGACCGCAAGGUUGAAACUCAAAGGAAUUGACGGGGCCCGCACAAGCGGUGGAGCAUGUG